rnacentral:tRNA from 1 species
AACAAAAUAGCUUAAUAUAAAGUUUUUAUUUUGCGUAUAAAAGAUAGUUUAGAACUUUUUGUUA